UAUGACUAUAGCGCGUUCAAACAUCGGUUCCCGUAUGAUCGCCAAAGUUAAGCAACGUCAAGACUGGUUAGUACCUAGAUAGGUGACCACUUGGGAAUACUGAGUGUU